GCAUGGGUUUGGAUUUGUGGCAGGUCCAAUCCCAUGGGCCUCUCACAGUGUCCCAUGCCAAAGCAAACUGUCCCCCCGAACCAUUGGCCUGGCUUUACCUGGUAGGCUUAAGGCACUGAAGUGGGUUGCACAGUA
rnacentral:snoRNA from 1 species